CAUCGAUGAAGAACGCAGCGAAAUGCGAUAAGUAAUGUGAAUUGCAGAAUUCCGUGAAUCAUCGAAUCUUUGAACGCACAUUGCGCCCUCUGGUAUUCCGGGGGGCAUGCCUGUCCGAGCGUCAUUGCAACCCUCAAGCACGGCUUGUGUGUUGGGCUUCUUGUCUCUAUUUUUUUUAGAGACAGGCCCCAAAAGCAGUGGCGGCGUCCUGACACAGGUGCCUGAGUGAAUGGGAACAAAACUAUAAGCUCAAUAGGCCCAGUCGGCGCCUGCCGGUUAACUUAUUAUUUAACGGUUGACCUCGGAUCAGGUAGGAAUACCCGCUGAACUUAAGCAUAUCAAUAAGGCGGAGGAA
rnacentral:rRNA from 1 species